rnacentral:rRNA from 1 species
GCUCAACCGGGGAGGGUCAUUGGAAACUGGGGAACUUGAGUGCAGAAGAGGAGAGUGGAAUUCCACGUGUAGCGGUGAAAUGCGUAGAGAUGUGGAGGAGCACCAGUGGCGAAGGCGACUCUCUGGUCUGUAACUGACGCUGAGGCGCGAAAGCGUGGGGAGCGAACAGGAUUAGAUACCCUGGUAGUCCACGCCGUAAACGAUGAGUGCUAAGUGUUAGAGGGUUUCCGCCCUUUAGUGCUGCAGCAAACGCAUUAAGCACUCCGCCUGGGGAGUACGGUCGCAAGACUGAAACUCAAAGGAAUUGACGGGGGCCCGCACAAGCGGUGGAGCAUGUGGUUUAAUUCGAAGCAACGCGAAGAACCUUACCAGGUCUUGACAUCCUCUGACAACCCUAGAGAUAGGGCUUCCCCUUCGGGGGCAGAGUGACAGGUGGUGCAUGGUUGUCGUCAGCUCGUGUCGUGAGAUGUUGGGUUAAGUCCCGCAACGAGCGCAACCCUUGAUCUUAGUUGCCAGCAUUCAGUUGGGCACUCUAAGGUGACUGCCGGUGACAAACCGGAGGAAGGUGGGGAUGACGUCAAAUCAUCAUGCCCCUUAUGACCUGGCUACACACGUGCUACAAUGGGCAGAACAAAG